AUUGAACGCUGGCGGAAUGCUUUACACAUGCAAGUCGAGCGGCAGCACGGGGGCAACCCUGGUGGCGAGCGGCGAACGGGUGAGUAAUACAUCGGAACAUGCCCAGUCGUGGGGGAUAACACUUCGAAAGAAGUGCUAAUACCGCAUACGUCCUGAGGGAGAAAGCGGGGGAUCGCAAGACCUCGCGCGAUUGGAGUGGCCGAUGUCAGAUUAGCUAGUUGGUGGGGUAAAGGCCUACCAAGGCAACGAUCUGUAGCUGGUCUGAGAGGAUGAUCAGCCACACUGGGACUGAGACACGGCCCAGACUCCUACGGGAGGCAGCAGUGGGGAAUUUUGGACAAUGGGGGCAACCCUGAUCCAGCCAUUCCACGUGAGUGAAGAAGGCCUUCGGGUUGUAAAGCUCUUUCGGCAGGAACGAAACGGCGAGCUCUAACAUAGCUUGCUAAUGACGGUACCUGAAGAAGAAGCACCGGCUAACUACGUG
rnacentral:rRNA from 1 species